CCCUGUCUCCUCGGCCCCUUCUCGGUCCCCUCCGGCUCCGGCCUCCCGGCCGCCUGCGGCCCCUCCGGCUGCCGCCCGUCGCCCGCUGGGGCUCCCACGGGCUCCCCUUUGUUCCCCCGCCUUCUCUCCCUUCUCUCCUGCCCUGGUCCCUCCUUCGUUUGCUUCCCCUUUCUUGGUCCCGCCUGUCUCUGCUCCCCCUCGCUUUGUUCCUCCCGUCUCUGCUCCUCGUCUUCCUCUGUUCCCUUCGUUCGCUCCUGGUCCUUUUGUUCCUCCUGUUCCCGCUGUGUCUCCCUUCCUGAUCUGUCUCUCUGCCUUCCCGUCCCUUUGCCAGCUCCUGUCUCACGUCCUGUCGCUUGCCCUGUUUUGUGCCUCGGUCCUGUUUCCCGUCUCUCGUUGAGGGUUCUGUUUUUUUUUUGCUCCAGGUCCCGGUUCCCGUGUCCCGUCUGUCGCCUCCUCCCAGGCGCGCCCGGUGCAGCGCGCCUUUGGGGGGGGGUUCUGUCAUGCCCUGCUCGUCGGCUCCUCCUGUGUGCCACGCCCCCUGCUUACCCACGUGUGUUUCCCGGAUUGUACCCAGCUGUGUCUGCUUAUUUUCAAUCAGUCCUGUGUAUUUCAGUCCGUGUCUUAUCCGAGUCCUUGGUCCGUCAUUGAUGUUGUCAAUGUCUGUUUCCCGUCCUGCUCCGGUUUCCCCGAAUAAACCCCCGUUUUCCCGUAUCCCGCUUGCCUGCCUGCUCCUUCCGCACGAUCGCCGCUCUGCCCGCGAUCACCUGUGACAGAAUGAAAUCUCAGUCCCAUCCAGCAUUCAACAGUCAUAGGGGCGCAACUACUCACUUUUUGGGGGGUAUGCAACAACAAUUUUGGCUGGAGGAUUCGCUUAUCUUGACAUUCUCCCGAGCAACUGUAAAUAGCCCCUUGUGUUAUUGUAAAUGCACUUGUUGUAAUUCCCUAUUGUUGUUUGCCUUUGUCUUGUGUGAACCAUGUCCAAUCUUUGUAUGUCCUUAAAUUACCCACCAUAUAUGUACCUGACAGUAGUGAUGUAGCCGCCUAAGCAGUUCAGCGUCUGACCAUUUUUGGUUUGGUACUUGUUCCAGGUUUGUGUUAAUUCUUUUAAAGACUAUAAUAUAAAGGCAUAUUUUCCAUCUUAAUAGAGUUUUCUUGUCUUUUGCCGACAUCAUUCUGCCUCAAUCUGCCAGUAAUUACAAUGUUCUGCCAUUAAAAGAAUACACCAGCAGGCAUUUACAAUGUGUGGUUGGCAACCCAGGGACACAAAAUGAAUAACUAUGCUCAUCAAAUAACUACUACUGUCUUUGCAUAUAGGGCACCCCAAACCACUUGUGACAAAGCCACACCCCCUUCAGGUUACCCUCUUCACUUAUGCUGCCUAUAUCUAGCCACUGGACCCUACAAGACGUACACAAACAAUAGAUAUAUAAAUUAAAUGCAGCUCAACCACCUCAAUAGAUAGUUGACACGAGUGUUUAUUUGAUUAAACAAGUUAAAUGAGUAUGAGAACAGUAAUUUGGCAAAGCCCGUCUCUUGGUCGUUAGUUCCAUCGACUCUGAAGCCGACAUAUCUGGCUGGGCGACCAGGAAGGAGGCGAAGGAGCCAAUGGUUAUGGAGGGGAGGAGAUUAAGCUUAAUACACUCAAAAUGGAUAUUCUGAUGAUUCUUUUGAUUGUAUCAACGUAGCCGUUUACCUGAUGCCUCGGCCAGACAUAUUAUAUUUAUAUUUUAUAGAGCAGUAAUAUAUGGGUCACUCUCCAUUUGGAGUAGGAAACCAUGUCAUAGGGGUGGCUGGGCUGAAAAUCAUGUUUAAAACAUUAGCCACAGCUCCAAGAGUCAGCAUGUACUUUCGCACAAGUGGUGCUUGAUUAAAUAACAUGUUUCUUUCAAGAUUUGUUUGAUUUUUCUAAUUUUAUCAUGUUUCGGAUUUCAGUGAAUCAGCUCAUUACACAACCAAAUUUCAACAUUUGGCAAAUAUUUGAGAAACUGCUUACUUCAAGUCAUCAUGGCGGAAGCACCUGAAAGAGCUGCUAGGGCAUGAUGAAGGAGGGACGAUCCAUGGAGUGACUCAACAAACAGGGUUUAUUAAACAAAACAGAACAGAAAACAAAGUGACCAUAAGGGGUCAAAAUAUAGCGAACAAAAUAAGAACUAACGCUAAAACUACUAAGACAUGGGAACCAAGCAAGAAGAAUAACACUAAUGACAGGAACUAACAGAGUAGCAACCACAAGGAAUAUACAGGAGAUUGAGGCUAAAAUGAGGGAGACCCUAGUGGCUAGUGCCGAAGUGUUUAUCAUAACAGCUCAGAAUUUCAUUUUCUCAAACAUGGACACUGCUAGGGGACAAUGCUACUUUAAAGAGCAUCUUCUUCAUUUGCUACAUUUUCAGAAAAGCCAUUGAUCCAAAGGAAAUUCUAGGUGAACCGCUUAAGUCAGCACUGGCUGAAAUGUACCCAGAUAUUUUCAAAUCGUACAAAUCCCAGCUGCCCCAUAGACCCCCUUUCUCAGUACUGUUGAAAGUGGUAAGUGAUCUGGAAUAAUCUCUGACUUACUCCUAUACAAUCUUUGGCACAUUAACAGUUCUUAAGGAAACAUGCCUUUUUUGUUAGCAUGAUCUGCUUUAAGGAACAAAGGUGAAAUUAUAUUUUAUUAUGAAAAAUAACUUUUAAUUUCAUACCAACUCAAAUUGCUUUUUAGGUUUUGUUCUCUAUAUAUGUAAAGGAAUAACAUAUGAUUAAACUGCAUAUUAAGAGUGCUCACUGGCCACAUUUAGUAUGUGGUUGUAUUAUACUGUUAACUGGCAAGUUUAACAUCUCAGUCAAAACAAGUGAACUCAAGUGAACAAGUGAACCAGUAAAAUUGAUUUUCUUUACUUUGGAAAUGGAUAAUAAUUAUAAUAAUAGUAAUAAUAAUAAU